rnacentral:rRNA from 1 species
CCUACGGGUGGCAGCAGUGGGGAAUAUUGGGCAAUGGGCGCAAGCCUGACCCAGCAACGCCGCGUGAAGGAAGAAGGCUUUCGGGUUGUAAACUUCUUUUAAGAGGGAAGAGCAGAAGACGGUACCUCUUGAAUAAGCUACGGCUAACUACGUGCCAGCAGCCGCGGUAAUACGGAGGUGGCAAGCGUUGUCCGGAUUUACUGGGUGUAAAGGGCGUGUAGCCGGGCUGACAAGUCAGAUGUGAAAUUCCGGGGCUCAACCCCGGACCUGCAUUUGAAACUGGUGGUCUUGAGUAUCGGGGAGGCAGGCGGAAUUCCUAGUGUAGCGGUGAAAUGCGUAGAUAUUACGAGGAACCCCAGUGGCGAAGGCAGCCUGCUGGACGACAACUGACGGUGAGGCGCGAAAGCGUGGGGAGCGAACAGGAUUAGAUACCCCAGUAGUC